GACGAACGCUGGCGGCGUGCUUAACACAUGCAAGUCGAACGGAAAGGCCCUGCUCUUGCGGGGUGCUCGAGUGGCGAACGGGUGAGUAACACGUGAGUAACCUGCCCUUGACUUUGUGAUAACUUCAGGAAACUGGGGCUAUUAUCGGAUAGGAGCUCCUGCGGCAUGGUGGGGGUUGGAAAGUUUCGGUUGUUUGGGAUGGACUCGAGGCUUAUGAGCUUGUUGGUGGGGUUGUGGCUUACCAAGGUUGUGACGGGUAGCCGGCCUGAGAGGGUUGACGGCCACAUGGGGACUGAGGGACGGCCCAGACUCCAACGGGAGGCAGCAGUGGGGAAUAUGGCACAAUGGGCGGAAGCCAGAUGCAACGACGCCGCGUGCGGGAUGACGGCCUUCGGGGUAUAAACCGCUUUCGCCGGUGACGAAGCGUGAGUGACGGUAAUGAGUAAAGAAGCACCGGCUAACUACGUG
rnacentral:rRNA from 1 species